UAAUCCAGCUGGCUGUGAAUCCCCGUAAAGGACUGUGCGGGUGAUGUCACAACCAGGCGCCAGCAGGGAGCGGGCGGGAUUUUGAUUGGUGUUAGGCGUCCCCGGCGCCUGCUUCCUAAUGCACACGUUGCUAGGCAACAAACACGUCACCGGCGAGCCGCUCACGUGACUCACCCGGAAGUCCUGGUCACAGACACACGGAACACCUCUCUCUGGCACACCACGCUAUUUAACAGCGCAAGACAGGGACUAGAAAACCAGAAUACUACACCAGCCCACAUUGACUGAGGCACAUGAAGAGA